rnacentral:rRNA from 1 species
UGCCAGCAGCCGCGGUAAUACGGAGGGUACGAACGUUAAUCGGAAUUACUGGGCGUAAAGCGCGCGUAGGCGGUUUGUUAAGUGGGAUGUGAAAGCCCCGGGCUCAACCUGGGAACUGCAUUCCAAACUGACAAACUAGAGUACGAGAGAGGGGGGUAGAAUUCAGAGUGUAGCGGUGAAAUGCGUAGAUAUUCUGAGGAAUACCGGUGGCGAAGGCGGCCCCCUGGCUUGAUACUGACGCUGAGGGACGAAAGCGUGGGUAGCAAGCCGGAUUAGAUA